GACGAACGCUGGCGGCGUGCUUAACACAUGCAAGUCGAACGGAAAGGCCCUGCUUUUGUGGGGUGCUCGAGUGGCGAACGGGUGAGUAACACGUGAGUAACCUGCCCUUGACUUUGGGAUAACUUCAGGAAACUGGGGCUAAUACCGGAUAGGAGCUCCUGCUGCAUGGUGGGGGUUGGAAAGUUUCGGCGGUUGGGGAUGGACUCGCGGCUUAUCAGCUUGUUGGUGGGGUAGUGGCUUACCAAGGCUUUGACGGGUAGCCGGCCUGAGAGGGUGACCGGCCACAUUGGGACUGAGAUACGGCCCAGACUCCUACGGGAGGCAGCAGUGGGGAAUAUUGCACAAUGGGCGGAAGCCUGAUGCAGCAACGCCGCGUGCGGGAUGACGGCCUUCGGGUUGUAAACCGCUUUCGCCUGUGACGAAGCGUGAGUGACAGUAAUGGGUGAAGAAGCACCGGCUAACUACGUGCCAGCAGCCGCGGUGAUACGUAGGGUGCGAGCGUUGUCCGGAUUUAUUGGGCGUAAAGGGCUCGUAGGUGGUUGAUCGCGUCGGAAGUGUAAUCUUGGGGCUUAACCCUGAGCGUGCUUUCGAUACGGGUUGACUUGAGGAAGGUAGGGGAGAAUGGAAUUCCUGGUGGAGCGGUGGAAUGCGCAGAUAUCAGGAGGAACACCAGUGGCGAAGGCGGUUCUCUGGGCCUUUCCUGACGCUGAGGAGCGAAAGCGUGGGGAGCGAACAGGCUUAGAUACCCUGGUAGUCCACGCUGUAAACGGUGGGUACUAGGUGUGGGGUCCAUUCCACGGGUUCCGUGCCGUAGCUAACGCUUUAAGUACCCCGCCUGGGGAGUACGGCCGCAAGGCUAAAACUCAAAGGAAUUGACGGGGCCCCGCACAAGCGGCGGAGCAUGCGGAUUAAUUCGAUGCAACGCGUAGAACCUUACCUGGGUUUGACAUGGAUCGGGAGUGCUCAGAGAUGGGUGUGCCUCUUUUGGGGUCGGUUCACAGGUGGUGCAUGCCUGUCGUCAGCUCGUGUCGUGAGAUGUUGGGUUAAGUCCCGCAACGAGCGCAACCCUUGUUCACUGUUGCCAGCACGUUAUGGUGGGGACUCAGUGGAGACCGCCGGGGUCAACUCGGAGGAAGGUGGGGAUGACGUCAAGUCAUCAUGCCCCUUAUGUCCAGGGCUUCACGCAUGCUACAAUGGCUGGUACAGAGAGUGGCGAGCCUGUGAGGGUGAGCGAAUCUCGGAAAGCCGGUCUCAGUUCGGAUUGGGGUCUGCAACUCGACCUCAUGAAGUCGGAGUCGCUAGUAAUCGCAGAUCAGCAACGCUGCGGUGAAUACGUUCCCGGG
rnacentral:rRNA from 1 species